CUUUUAUCUUAGCAGUCGUGACGGCUGCGCGCGCUGCGGUUCCCCUCGAGCGCAUCCGGCAUCAUGUCGGCGUCUGAGACCCCAUCAGAUGGGAGCUCUCCUCAAUCCAAACAGGAAGUGGAGCUGAUUCCGCCUGUAAAGGGAAAACAGAUGGAAGACGUGACGGGACGUCCCACCACAUCCACUGAAUCAUU